rnacentral:lncRNA from 1 species
UGGAGUCUGAUGACCAAGGGCAGGAAGCAUCCAGCACGGGACAAAGAAGAAAGCCAGAAGACUCAGCAAGCCAGCUCAUCUCACUUUCUUCUGCCUACUUUGUUGUAGCUGAGCUGGCAGCCAGUUGGAUGGUGCACACUCACAUUGAGGAUUGGGAGGCUGCUGUGUAUGGAUAAGAUACCUGCUACAGCCAGCUUGACACCAUGAGAAGGACAAGAGAAUUGCAGAGACACAUAUCCAGGAUUCUGAUCCAGUUGAGGCACUGAAAUAAUCUAGAACCACCUUCAAAUUUCUUAUAAAGAGAGCUAUGCUAUUAGGAUUUAAUUAAAUGGAUGCCAACAGCAAGUAAACCAUCUCCAAAGAUGCCAUGAAGCUCUCCUAAUUGCAGGAAAAUAUCAGAGGCACUUGAUUUGAGUCUUUCAAGUACGGAAAUAACAAAUUCAGUCUCAACAGACCUAUAGUGAAUGAGAAUGAUUGUCACAUAAUGUGUAGAGAAAAUGGAAGAAUCAAAGGCAAGGGAAACCUGUACAGUGGAGACACAAAGGGUCACUGGCAGAUUUCAAAUGAUCCAAGACAUCCUCAAACUUUUUCAUAUCUGUUGGGUCUAUAAUGAUGGUCACCCCAACCACAGCUUCAUUUCUGAUAUUGGACAUUGAGAUCUGCUGGUUGGAGAUCUUAGUGCCCAAGGAAGAAUGCUUGCAAAAGGAGAUGGAACAGUGUUUCUGUUGCAUUGGCCACUGAGAAUAUCUGGUUAUUUUGAAUUUGUCACAGUCUGCAGCUAAAAGGCGAACAGGAAAAGAAGAGAGAGCGGUAAUUUGAAUGAUAGCAGAUUUCACAUCAGGAACCAAUGAAGCUAGAUAAGAAUGCAACAUCUUUGAUGUCUAAAAGAAACAAAAAGCCAACCUUGAAUUCUUUAUUUAGUGAAGUUACCCUUCAGAAAUGACGGCAAAAUAAAGAUGUUUUCCAAUAAAAGACAACUAUGAGAAUUCUUCACCAGCAGUCCUAUUGUAUCAGAACAGCCAAAAGAAGUUUGUCAGCCUACAGGGAAUUAUAUCAAAGGGAAGACUUGACCUUGAAAAUGAAUGAGGAAUAUAAGAAAUUGAUAUUAUCUGGGAAGCGGCACAUGAGACUAGCAGGAGUAAAUGUUAUAUACACUGGGCCUCGCAAAAAUUCUGCAAUCACUGGGAAUCAGUAACCUGGUAGAAUGAGAAAACAACGUAAUACUGAAAAAUCAAAACACCAUCCUACAGAACUUUGAUGCAUUCAGAACAAAGAUCACGAAUCAAGCUGAAAAAGUAAAGCAUUCUGUGAGUUGUGGAAUGGAAAUUGCCUCAACCAUCUCACCACUUGAUGACACUUGUAAUUUCAGUGACCCAAUUCAAGCAAUCAAACAUCAAGUAAUACUCUCAAUAAAGAUGUGUAAUUAAAACAGAAGAGGAAACAGACUAACAGAAGUGAUGAAGAAUGGCAGUUCUAAGGAUGGCAGGAAUUCACUGAAUGUCUAUCUAUCAUGUAUGCUGUUGGAGGCACCUGUCUUUCAGUUCAGAGGUUAUGGAUGUAUCUAUCAUCAGUAUUUCGGGAAGUCAGGGACCCGGAACAGAGGGACUUAAUGAAGCUGUGGCAGAAGAAAAAAUUAUGAAGAUUUCAUGGACAUUUAUUAGUUCCCCAAAUUAAUACUUUUAUAAUUUCUUACA